GUCGUCCACCGAGGAGAACUGCUUGUCGCAGCUCUCGCACACGUAGUGGGUGGACGUGGUCAUGUAGUGCACGGUCAGGUGCUGCAGCAGGGACUCCUGCGAGUCGAAGUCCUCCUUGCACUGGGGGCACGCCUGCUUCCGCAGCAGCAGCUCCAGGUGCAGCUUCAGGUGGGUCUGGAAGCUCUCAAAGUUGGAGAACUUGAGGUCGCACUGGUUGCACCUUGAUGUGCUUGGUGAGCUUCAGGAUGGAGCCGAAGAUGGGCGAGUUGGUGCAGUAGGGGCAGGAGUAGACCUCCAUGAAGGACUGCGUGGGCUGCACGACCGGGGACUCCAGUUUGGCACUGCCCACGCUGCAGUGGGCCUGCUGGAUGUGCUCCGUGAGGGAGGACUCGGUCAGGAAGCCCAUGGAGCAUUGGUUGCAAAAGAAGGCGUUGUUGCCGUCGGGCGGGUUGGCGUUGGGGCCGCAGUGGGAGACCCGGAUGUGCUCCUGCAAGCUGUUGAUGUCAGCAAACAUCUCGGGGCAGUAGUUGCAGUGGAAGGCGGAGAUGCUGCCGAACUGCAUUACGGGGUACGCAUGGUUCUUGUGCAGCUUGCGGACGUGCUCGUUGAGGUUGUAGAGGGUGGGCAUGGAGUCCAGGUGGCAGUAGACGCCCUCCACGGAGGAGAACUGCUCGGGGCACAUGGGGCACUUGUGUUUCUGGUUGGCGUGGGCUUGGUGGAUGUGGGCGAGCAGCGUGUUCUCGUCGACAAAGACCUCGGGGCAGUGGAUGCACUGCAGGUCGGCCUUCUCGGAGAGCUGGGGGUGGCGGGUGAGCACGUGCUUCUCCAGCUCCUCGGUCUGGCUGAAGGUGUCCUCGCAGUAGUCGCACAUGAAGUCGUCCUUCUUGGCCUCCUUCUCCGACUUGGCCAGGUGCUCCUUGUUCUUCUUGUGGGCCUGCAUGUGGCUCUGCAGCGAGCUGGUGGAGGAGAA
rnacentral:lncRNA from 1 species